rnacentral:rRNA from 1 species
UUAAAAAGUCACUCUGUUUUCGGAAGCUAAGCAGGGUCAGGCCUGGUUAAUACUUGGAUGGGAGACCACCUAGGAAGACCAGGUGCUAUAGGUA